rnacentral:lncRNA from 1 species
ACCAAGGCCUCCCCACCCAAGUUCAGUCUACUCCAGUACUAUUGAUGCUUUAUGUUUGCCAGGUCACCCCAGACUCCUGAGGUUUUGUCUUGAAGCUUUCUCCUCCACUGUGUCCUGGAUACUCAUCUGUGAGGAGCCUGGAGAGAAGACAAGUUCCUGAUGAAGGAUCCCUCUCCAGCUUCCUUUGGGCCCAAAGAGGAUUCAAAAGACAAACACAGCAAGAGCAACCUUUCAUAAUGCUACAUCAAAUAAAAGUUGGUACUUAUUUAUUUUCUUUCUUUCCUUUUUUUAAUAAUCUGUUCAGUUCCCCUUUUUAGCA